UACGGGGGGGGCAAGCGUUGUUCGGAAUUACUGGGCGUAAAGGGCUCGUAGGCGGCCAACUAAGUCAGACGUGAAAUCCCUCGGCUUAACCGGGGAACUGCGUCUGAUACUGGAUGGCUUGAGUUUGGGAGAGGGAUGCGGAAUUCCAGGUGUAGCGGUGAAAUGCGUAGAUAUCUGGAGGAACACCGGUGGCGAAGGCGGCAUCCUGGACCAACACUGACGCUGAGACACGAAGGCCAGGGGAGCAAACGGG
rnacentral:rRNA from 1 species